AAAUCUCCCCUGGCUCCACCCAUCCCUGGGUUGAAAAGCCAAAGCUGGGCCUGGGUGCUCACUGGUAUGCAGCCAUGGACAGGCUUGCUUCCUCCUUGCUGCUGCUGCUUGUCCCUGCAUAUGUCCUGUCCCAGAUCACCUUGAAGGAGUCUGGCCCUGGGCUCUUGCAGCCCUCUGAGACCCUCAGUCUGACCUGCACUUUCUCUGGGUUUUCACUGAGCACUACUCAUAUGGGUGUGGGCUGGAUUCGUCAGCCUCCAGGGAAGGGUCUGGAGUGGCUGGCAAACAUUUGGUGGGAUGAUGGCAAGCGCUACAACCCGUCCCUGAAGAGCCGGCUCACCAUCUCCAAGGACAGCUCCAACAACCGGGUGUUCCUCAAGCUCGCCAGUGUGGACACUGCGGACUCUGCCACAUACUACUGUGCUCGGAGAACACACUGACACAGCCUCCGUUUGCAGCUGUGCAGUAUCUCAGGCUGGUCCUCAGCUCUGUGUCUCCUCCUACAAUGCAGGAGGUGUGGAGGGGGCACACAUUUCCUGCUAGCCCUCGGGGAUUUUCCAUUUUCCUCUAGGUUAAGAGCCCAGGCUUCCUGUUAUUCAGCCUAGGUCCCUUUGAAGAUAUUCAGAAAUGAGUCUGUCUGUGUUUCCUUUUAUAAAGAUGAAGGAUGUUUGGUGUCUGCACCAGGUGGUUCCGAGCUAUGGUUCCACUCUGUCUUAGGCCUCAAGUCCCCACAGCACAAUGUUCCAACUUAUUUUAAUGUUUACCUUAAGUAAACAGCUGUACAUGAGGAAGAUGGGAAUUGCUGGAUGAGCAUUUUCAAAUUGAGUCAGUGGCCAAAGAGGCCCCAUGGAUACUCCCAAAUACUUCAGACCAUUUCCAAGGUUAAUGGCUGCUCUCCACAAACUGAUUGUGAUACCUGAUUUAUCAAGGCAGUACUUAGAUAUCUCAGUGAGCACAGAGAUGUUGAGCUUGUGCCCACCUAGAAGCUUCACCCCUCCUGCCUACUGUUCAUUGCACUGGAUCUGCUUUGUAUGGUAUCAGGGGGCGGGGAGGUAAUAAUCAACCUAGCUACAUACAUUGGCAUUCUCAAGAGCCACCUGCCUGUUGGUUAUGCUGGUUCAAUAGUGACACAAAUGUGAGUUUAAUCAUUCAUUUCCUGACAGAAUUUAAGGCCUUUGAGAUGGAAGCCAUGGUGACAUUGCCUUGCUGGGAUGGAAGCCAAGAACCUAGAGUUGGAUACACCAUGGUCCUCAGAGAAAACCAAGAGCCAUUGUUCUGAUAAAGCAGUGUGUCUAUAAAAUGGUUCCUAGUUAUAUACCAAACAGACUUAAAUCAGCACCUCACUCAUCUCUCCUCAGAGACCCUUCUUGCUGCAGGUGGAAAGCAACAGAGGACCACAAAUGGACAAUUUGUAGAGAAUUACAGAUACUUGAGCCCUCAGUCCUGAACUGCUGUGAGCAAGUGCAUGCUGGGUUGGCAGAAGCAAGUCAGCAAGUGAGCUUCCUGGUAACAGCCCAGUCUGUUUGCAUGGCUGAAAAUGGGUGUAUCUUGGUUUAGGCCAAGCCCCAAGGUUUUGUCUCAAGACUUCUUGUUGUUGCUAUACUGCCUUUCCAUGCUUGUCUCAUAUAUCUGGCAUAGGAGAGACCCUCACUGCUCAUUGCUUCACUCUCUUGGGCAGAUUUUCUGCAGAGUAUUUUAAAGAUAUACCUACAUGACAUAGUACUGUUUAUAUGAACUGAUGAUUUCAUAAUUCCUGGUGAUGAUUUUAAAGAAUUUCUGACUUGAAUCAAGUAAUUUAAAAACACUCCCAUAGUAUAUCAAAAACUGCUAGGAGCUCUGUGAACCUACCUAUGUCAAACAAUUGAUUUACACCGAAAAGGAAAGCAAGAUAGAAACAAAUUAAUGAUCAAGGAGAUACACUCAUUCUAGGUUUAGUCCAAGGAGAAGGCUCAGCUGUACGCCACAAUAAGAACGGCCAUAGAAGUAUAGAAACAAAGAAUAAAUAGUUCACGAUACAAGAGAAGACAGAUAGGUGUUUCUUAGAGAACCCUUCACAUUAAAAACUUGCUUUGAACAUAUAAUGUACAUUUGAAAUAAGAAAAAGAUGAAACUUCUGCUUUGAAUUCGUAAUGAGCAUAUAGAUAAAACCAUUGCUCUAAACUUAUAAUAAAUAUAGCAUAUAGUUACAUAUUAGGAUCAGCAUACUAAUAUAACCAUAACUCCCUUUUCAUGUAACAAUUGCAUCUAUUUUGAAUGAGAUAAUUUUUUUUAUAUAUAGAGAACCUUUGUAUUAAAUUGAAUAAAAACUUAAGACAGAAUUAAACACUUUUUAGGCCUUCUGUUUCAUCCAAAAAUGUUUCUGUCUGUUAAUAUGUCUAAUUGUAUAUUGUCUAUGUGUAUGUAUAUAUGUAUAUAUUUAUAUCUGUAUGUUUACAUGUAUGUAAAUGAAUGGUGUCUUUGGGAGCUCCAUUGUUUUGUCUAUUGAUUGUAUGUGUGCAUGUGUUUGUGAGGUUCAUAAAAUCUGCUUGCUUUGUCUGUCAAAUGUGUGUAUGUUUUGCAUGCUUUCAUGUUUUGUAAGUUUAGUAAGUGAUAAGCAGUUCAGAGUGUUUCAUUGGCCUUCUUAAUUAGGUUCCUCUCUUCCAGCAAGCUGCUCUUCACUGCUGAGCCAUUGAAUUAACAGGAACUAAGGUUUUUCUUUUCUCAAUUUCUUGUAUUUACAGCAAGAAAUUGUCAGGGCUGCAGCUGUAGCAGCUUGUACUCUGAAUUAAAAGAGGCACCUGGCUUAAUCAAUUAAGACCCUCUGCUGUUAAACAAUUAAAGUUUUUAGCCAGAGAGCUGUUUUGGUGGAGAGCUCAGUUGACAAAGCUUCAGCUGCUGAAUCUGAAAGUUCAGGGUUCAGUUCCCUGUUACCUCUCCUUUCUUUUAGAGGCUCACGUGACCAGGGGCCUCUGCAAGUUUAAGAGUUAAAGUGUAUAUAUAGAGCUCCGCAUAUAGGAAGAGAAACACCAGCCACCAGCUCUUGCGACCUGCCUUGGUUUACCCUGUGUGCUGGGGCUGGCACUAAAUGACCUGUCCUCAUCAAAGCUUCUCCUCAGGACUUAGGGACCACUGCAAAGGAGGAGAUGGAAAGAUUGCAAGGGCCCGAGAUGAUGGAUAACUCCAAAGAAACAGGCUCCUCCAGACACAAGAGGGCUGAUGCACGUGUGACCUCAAAGAGACUGUGCAGAGGGCUUGGAUGGCAAGAUGGGGUCCCAGUGCUGAGGGGGGCAGUGGGGUAGUGGGCUCCCACCACCAAGCAAGAAGCUGUCUGCAGCUGGUACUCACUUGCAAAGGGAAAAAUUAGUCUUCCUCAGUGGAGUCUCUCUGGUUUUAUUAAACACACUAUAAGGUAGGCCUAUGUCCAGGAGUUGGACUGACAAAACAAACUCAAUGGCAUGUUUAUAGACUGGGUCUCAUAUUGCUUUGCAUAGGCAUUUUUUUGUCUUAUCAGUCUUUUUGUAUAUUUGGUUUAAUGUUGGUGUACUUAUGAGUGUGUGUCUGAGAGAGAGAGAGAGAGAGAGAGGGAGACAGGGAGAGAGAGAGAGACUUUGACUUUUGCUUUGACUUUUUCGUUAAGGAGAGGAGGAAAGGCCCUGGAUUUGGGUAGUAGUGAGGCAAUGAGGAUCUAGGAGAAGUUGGGAAAGUGUGACCAGAAUUUAUUUUUUAAAACAAAAAUUUUCAAUAAAUAAAGGAAAUUUAGAUGAACCAAACUGGAAAACACACUACAAAUCUGUGUAUUUAUU